GGCCGCUUGGACUGAGGAGGCUGUGGGGCUUCGAGCCGCUCUGGGUUCUCAGAGGCUUCUGGAUGACUCUAGCAUCUUGGAGGGCAGUGACAAGCUGCAAAGCACUGUCAGGCGCCUCAGUGCUCCAGGCUGACUCCUGCACCCGGAAGGUUCUCCGCCCCUGAGAUCACUCACUGCUAAGGACGGGAGGAGCCUGCUCAGAAGACACGGUCUGCACUCCGCUGAGGGGUUGGAGGUGCAGGUCAGUGACAAGUGUGAGGGUUAGGGCUCACUCACAAGGUGAGAAAAGAGAAAGGAGAGGGAGAUUUGAGACCACACUCAAGGGGAGGCUGUGAGAAGACAGGCAGAGGUGGGAGUGAUGGUCCACAGGGCAAGGGCCCAAGGGUUGCCAGCCCCCUGGAAGCUGGAGAGAAGCCUGGUACAGAUUCUGAAGGACCCAGUCCUGCCAGGGUCCUUUUUUGGACUUCUAGUCUCCAGAGCUGUGAGAGAAGAAAUUUCUGUGAUUUGAGGCAGGCAGUUGGUGUGACCUGUAGUGACAGCCCCAAGCAGCUUACAGCUCCUUUCCCUUAUCCCAGUUAAGACCUGGUGGCUCAGCCUGCAGAGCAGAGGGCAGAGCUCAGGGCAGGUGGGGCAGAAGGACACAGUUUGGAGGGUCCUCAGAGCCUGUGGCUCUGCUCUGCUGGGGCCACAGCUCCCCCCACCCACCGCCUCAGCCUCAGUAGCUCUCUCCUUGGGCCUCCUGAGUAUUUAUCCUUGUAUAUACACCUGUGUCCGCAGGGCAUGGCUGGUCCUGCUGCCCUCCUGACCUGCUGUGGUCAUAAAUGGCUCCCAUUUUGCACUGGAGCCCGGCCAGUCACAGUCCUUGAACCCAGAGACUGCUCAGGAUUUGGGUUAGAAAAAUCCUUCAUGAGCAAAAGGGGUGCCAAGAGGUUGAUACCUGGAGAUCACCCUUCUCAGGCAGGAUGAGAAUCCUGGCUCCCUGCUUCUCUUGCAGCUAGGUGCAGGCAGCUGGCCUGGCUCCACUGCUCAGUCCUCAACGCUAGGACUCAAUCCCCAGAGCGCUUCUCUAUCAAAGAUGCAGCCAAGGGCCCUGGGCUUCAGGACAACAGGUGUGGGCUGCUGGGUCCCUGCCCAGUGGGGAGGACAUGUGUUAAAGGUGUGGCUCUGGAUGUGUGGCCACCGGGCCUCCUUCCACAGCUCUCCAGAGUCAGUGGGCCUCUGAGGGUCCUGCAGUUGUUCUUUUCUGGCUCUGUGGUCCAGGUAGUGUGCAGGGCAAGGAAUGUCCUGGGGAGCCACUCUCAGCUCUGCCCAUGGGGCAGGCAGAGGACAGGGAGCCUGAGUCCUGGGACAAGCUUCUGGGGACCCUUCCCCUCCUAACCUGGCUGGGCAGAAAGCCUUGUGGGAGGGUAGCUGGCCAGAAGGUCUGGAGUCAGCCUGAGCUGGACACACCGGGGUCGGGACGAGCUGGCCUCCCACUCCCCAGCAGAAGGGGCCUCCACUUCUUCCUGCUCCUCCCUCACUCCUCACUCCACCUGCUGGGCCCCUGGGCCUCCCUCUGUCCACCCUCCAUCUCUCCACUACCCCCUUCAUGGAAUGAAGUCAUCUAGAAAAAUAAUCCAAAAAUAGAAAGGAAAAAAAACCUAAGAAAACAGGAUUUUUUCCCCUCUUCCAACAUUUGGUGCGACACUUCCCACACAGAUGAGUGUCCACCGGGGUCUGUUUUGGUCCAAGGGAGACUAAGCCUUGGCUGUGUGAGGUAGGUGGGGCUCCCUAGUGCCCACCGGGGGGGUCUGCCAGGGCCUCCCUUCUACAGCCUGCAAGGGUCAGCGCCCCCAGGAGCCUGAGCACCAUCUGAUGCCUGGCACAGGGAGGACCACCCAGUCCACAUACAGGUGGGCCCGAUGGGCAGCAGGCCAGGGAGCGGCCUUAGCUCCUAAACAGGUCCCCGCCUUGCGUCUCUCCCCUCUUCCCGACGGCCCACGCCCUGCCGCAGAGUUCUCGUUUGUUUAUUUAUAAUUUAUACUCAGCCUGCUUCCAAGAACACUCCGAGGCACUUGCUGAAAAGUGGCUUCCUGGAGCUCAGUUCUGCUCCUAUCAGUCUUGGGCACAAAGCCCAUCACCCUCUCCCAGCUCUCCCGCUGCAGACCACUCAGCCCAGCUUCCAGAGUUCCCUGGAGGGGCCUCCCAGGACAGUCUUCCCUGCCCCACCACGGCCCCUGCCUCGUAGAGCAGCUUGCUCAGAAGACCCCAAAACCUAGGAUGCCUUCUUCCCCCUUGGGAUGGACGCUACCUGGGCUCCUUCUCAGUCCCUGGAUAGGAAGGGCCCCUUGGCAACUUUCUUCUGCUCCUCCCUUCUGUUCCGCAUCACAGUUAGCUGGUGCAGGCUGCUGCUCCCUGACCCCGCCCCGCCAGACCUUCCCCCAACCCUGCAAGAUGGUGACCGCAGUGCUGUUGACAGUGACAGUGACAGUGACAGUGGAGACAUCUGGGGCUCCCCCUGUGCUGAACUGGCAUUGAUAUGCAGGAGGGAAGGCCCCGCAGGGGGCUCUGGGCAGGAGGAGGCUAAGAGAAGAGCCACCUCAACUUCAUCUGAACCCCGCGAAGUCAGGCCCAUGAGUCAAGGUUAAGGAUGCUGUUUUCAUGCGUGUUUCUUCAGGACCUUACUGUCCAAGUGACUAAGAGGGAGGUGGGGACCCUGCACAGCAAGGACACACCUGGGCAAAGCUGCAUUUGGCGGCUGCAGAGUCACAGCUUUGGGCUCAGGGAGGGGCCUCUGCACAGGGCCGCCUGAAUCAGCCACCCAGGGACUCUGGGGAAUGUUGCGUGUUUUAAGCCCCCAAGCCUUGUGGUAACUUGUUACACAGUCAAAGUGAUGGGAGACACCUAGGCUUGGCAGAUGGUGCAUCUCCCCCUCCAUCCAGGCCUGGAGAGAGGCUCUCCUCAGGGGCCCUUUGGCCUCGUGGGGCCAUUUCUGUGGCCAGUGCCUAGAGGGCAGGGAUGCGGAGGGCUCCAGGGAAGGGGCCACCCUGACCACAGGGCUGAGGAGCCCAGGACAGACAGCCUGCCUGGGAGGAGCAGCUUCAGAGGUGUACCUGGGGUUAUUCCCAUGGGGACACUGGGGACAGUCAGGGGGCUCCUGUGAAUCGAGUCCUCAUGCCCAACUUCCCAGCCCAUCCUCAGCUUCCUGCUCCUGGGAGGAGGUCAACUUUGGUCCUGGGCUCACCUUUCCUCAGCUGGCUUCCUUUCCUGUGGUGUGACAGAAGAAACACGCACAGGGACUGGCCCAGGGACCUGGCGAUGGCUCCAGCCAAGGCCAGAUAACCUGCUUAACCAGGAGGAUGCAGCAGCAUCACUUGAGUUCUUCUGAGCCCUACUUCCUCCUCUGGAAAACAAGAGCACACAAUGCACUCCUUGACCUAGUGCUGAGCAAAUUGGACAAAGCCCACAGAGCACGUGUGCACACCACCCCCUUCCAUAGCCUCAGUUUUCCAUCUGUAAAACGAAGCAGUCUCCAGCUUUUUCCCCAGCCAAGUCUAACUCCCACUUCUGCAGAGCAGGGCAGUGUCGCUGCCAGCCAGCAGCCACACCACAGCCUGGGGUGGAGGGUGUUCCCUUCCUCCACCAUCCCUGGGUCUAGACCCCACAGGCCCGGCACCAUCAGUUGUCACCAAAGCCUAGCUUCUCCCUCCUUCAGGCCAAGCGGACACCACCUGGCAGAUGGGCAGCCCUGGCAUGGCAGGGCCUAGGGGGUCGCCCUUGGGAAGCCUCAAGCAAGAGCAGAUGCCAGCUAGGACAUGCCAGGGGUACACUGACACUCUUGGGCACACUGCAGAGUACAGCCUUUCCUGGUAUUACUCUCCUCACCACCAAGUUCCCUAGGGCCACAGAUGUCCUGGCCACGGGGGUUGAGGCAGACCAGAUGUCUGUUCCUGGCCAUGACGCUUCAUGCCAGAAGGAUGGAACAAGCACAGUCCUUUGCUGACAGAGCCCUGGAACCCUUGAUUUUGGAACUGAGAGGGAGGCAGGGCUAAGAGGGAGAGAAGCCAGGCAUUUCUCCAGAAGGAAAUGCCUGUAAGAGCAUCUGCGGCUGGAGGGGCCUAUGCCAUGCCCUGGGAGGUUGACUGGCAUAUGGCUGACCUGGCCUGCCCAAGCCACAUGCCUGCAAAGCGCUCCUCUCCUGGUGCCAGGCCCACAGGGAAGCCAGUAAUCCGGACAUUCUGAUGCUACUCUGGGCAGCCCCAAGGCCUGUCUGGCUUCCUGCCUGGGAAGCAGCCCAGUGCCCUGGAAGAGCAGCCAGAGAGAGCAUGCUGAAGUGGGACCUCAGUCAGGGGCUGCCUCUUCUAAGCCUGUUUCCUCAUGUGUAAAUAAAAAUUCAUCACAUAAAUGUGAGGUCACCGGAGCCACAUCAAGGAGAGUGGUGGAGAUGGUUGGUUCCUUCUCACUGUGUGCACGGAACAUGCUUUGCAUCAGCCGCUGCAGAGGGAAGUAGCCCCAUCGACUUCCAGAGGCCCCACUAGAAACCAGUCCACCUCCUUCUUCCAUGUGCCUUACACACGCCUGGCCUCAGCGCUCCCCUCUGUGUGCUGUUCAUCCCCUCCCACCAGACCAAGGUGGCCUUCAUGUGACUCCAGGACUUCUCAAGCCAACUCAGUACCUAGAGUAGUGCCUGGCAAACGGGAGGUGGUGCCUGCACAAAUCAAAGACCUCUUUAGGCCCAAAGAUCCUACGCUUCCACAGCAACCGGCUCUCUAAGCCCUUGGCAGGUGAGCAGUUGCUCAACCCACGCUGGCUCCCCACCCAUGGGAGCCCACGCAUCCCUGCUAGAACCGGAGCAGAGUCCUUUAGUCCACCUCCUGGCUGAAGGGCGUCCUCUGGGCAAGAAGAGGAACCACACAAGGUUUACUGAGCACCUGCUCUCAUCUGGACAAGACAAUCCCUUGUUCACAGAGCCUUCCCAAAUACGUUAUCAACUAUGCUGUGGUAGAACCUAAGGAGAAAAAACAGUGCAAGAGUAUGAGGAAGGGGAUAAGCUUUAAACAGCAGCCGUUCACCUCGCUGAGGAGGCUGCGACGAAGCAAUGCCCUGAAAGGGGGAUGCGGGCGGGGUAUUCCAGGCAGGGGCAAAGCAGACGCAAAGGCUCUUUGGCAGGAUGGAACAGGGAGGUAGGUAAGGCCCUUGACUUCCACUUGGGGGGACAGGGAACCACGGAGAAGGGGCCUGGCCUGUCUUUACUGUGGUUGCCACGCUGCGAAGAGACUGGGGGGUGGGAGAGAGCGCAAGGGUGGAAGCAGAGAUCUUGGCUGGGAGACGGUGCUGGUGACUGGGCCACAGAGACAGCGGGGAGCUGGGAAGCGGUCAGCCGUGGGACACGUGGGAGGCGCAGGCGGCAGGACGCGCAGGCCUUGGAGCCCGGGCAGCAGCCGGAACGCGGAGCCCCGGGCCAGGUGGCUCCAGACCGCGCACACGCCCGCCAGCCGCUCCGAGUCCUCCAUGUCCCGCUUCACCGGCCACCCGGCCCAUGGGUGCCGCCGCGGACAGAGACUCCCACCCGCAGUCUGCGCGGGGCGAACAGGACGCAACCGAGGCCCUCAGAGGCCAGGCCCCGCCCUCAUGCCCCCUGCACCUGACACCGAGGAAGCCCCAGAGGAGGACUCUCGCGAGAUGUCUCAAACCUCUUCGCUCUCAGGGCUUCCCCAAUCGGCAAGCGGCUGGCUGAGUUGCCACGACAACCCGGACCUGCGUCUUUAUGGUCGCGUUGGCCUUGGCACCCCAGCAAGAAAAUGAAAAAAGAAAAAAGAAAGCAAGAAUACCAGUAGAAAUAGUGCAUUUCCAGAACUGCUGAUGGGAGGUGGCAGGUCCCAUGGUUUUGACCCAUUUGAUACCCAAAAGGCUGCAGAUCAUAUGAAAAAUGUACAGCUUUGGUUAGCAAAUAAUGAAAAAGUAAGAUACAUCAAUUCUCUUUCAUAUUUUACAGUAUAUACAUUGUAACAAUAUCAACUUGAGGGGGUUUGCUUUUUUUUUUUGGCAAAUAAGACAAAAUUGGGACUCUAAGUAUUGGGCUUUUUUUUCUCCUCAAUGACUUGUUCCCUUUUAAUAAAUCGUACUUCAGCCCACUGUGCACAGAAGCGAUAGAUUCCCGUCGUUGGCGGAAUAAAUUUACGUGCUGUUUGAAGAGACAAAACCACGACUCCUUCCAGCCACACGGUGGUGGCGCCGAGGUCACAGAGUCCUCCAUCCUCACGGCUUCUAACCAGGUUGGAAGUGACAUCCAAACCCUCGGCCCAUCCCCCAUCACCGAUCUGCUCCCAGACAAAGGGCCCACCCAGAGCAGCCUUUCGGGCCUCCUGGUCCCCAGCGCACCUUCAGAACAGGUGGGCCCUCGCUGGAGCUUGCUGCAAGGACUUCGGACCUCAUGCCAAGCCUCUCCCCUGCCCUCGCUGCCCACAAGACACCCCCUUGGUCUCAGGUCCCAGGGCUGGUGACAAAGAGAUCUUUGCGGUCUUACAAAAUAAACUGGGAAUCUACAAAA